rnacentral:rRNA from 1 species
UACGUAGGGGGCUAGCGUUGCUCGGAAUCACUGGGCGUAAAGCGCACGUAGGCGGCUUCUUAAGUCCGGGGUGAAGUCCUGGAGCUCAACUCCAGAACUGCAUUUGAUACUGAGGAGCUUGAGUCCGGGAGAGGUGAGUGGAACUGCGAGUGUAGAGGUGAAAUUCGUAGAUAUUCGCAAGAACACCAGUGGCGAAGGCGGCUCACUGGCCCGGUACUGACGCUGAGGUGCGAAAGCUAGGGGAGCAAACGGG